GGUUUUCAUUUUUUGUCGAGCCAUUGCCAUUUAUGUCGCAAAAGCGAGACAUUUCGAUCCUAAAUUUCGCCAGCGGUGCCAAUAUUAUAACUAUGUACAUUUAGGUUCAGUAUGUUGUUAAAGUUUUAAGAUAUUAAUAACUUUAAUUGUCAAACCUUCGUAAAAUUUUACGGUAGCUGGACAAAAACUGUUGAUGGUCAAUAGAGUAUCCAG
rnacentral:lncRNA from 1 species